AUGGCAGAUGCUAGCUCAAGGACUGACAACUCAACUGUUGUAGACAACGACGGCAAGAUUUAUAGGUUAGAACAAGGACAGAGUGGUGGGGCAAUCAUGGCUUCUAAUUCUUCGGAUAGGUCUGACAGGUCUGACAAGCCCUUGGACCAAAAGACACUGCGCCGUCUUGCUCAAAAUCGUGAGGCUGCAAGGAAAAGUCGACUAAGGAAGAAGUCAUAUGUGCAACAGCUAGAAAGCAGCAAGCUGAAGCUUGCACAACUAGAGCAGGAGCUCCAGAAAGCUCGCCAGCAGGGAAUCUUCAUUUCUAGCUCAGGAGACCAAACCCAUGCCAUGAGUGGAAAUGGAGCAAUGACUUUCGAUCUGGAAUACACUAGAUGGCUUGAGGACCAAAACAAGCAAAUCAAUGAGUUGAGGACUGCAGUUAAUGCUCAUGCAAGUGACAGUGACCUGCGCCUUAUCGUAGAUGGGAUAAUGGCACAUUAUGAUGAAAUAUUUAAGGUCAAAGGUGUCGCUGCCAAGGCUGACGUGUUCCAUAUACUGUCAGGCAUGUGGAAGACGCCUGCCGAAAGGUGCUUCCUGUGGCUUGGGGGUUUCCGUCCAUCCGAGCUCUUAAAGCUCCUGGUGAAUCAUCUGGAGCCGCUAACCGAGCAGCAGAUGUUGGGAUUGACCAACCUCCAGCAAUCUUCCCAGCAGGCAGAGGAUGCACUGUCACAAGGAAUGGAAGCAUUGCAGCAAUCACUGGCAGAGACUCUGGCUGGAUCUCUGGGUUCCUCCGCUGGCUCUUCGGGGAAUGUUGCAAACUACAUGGGUCAGAUGGCCAUGGCCAUGGGCAAGCUUGGAACGCUCGAGAACUUUCUUCGCCAGGCUGACAACCUGCGACAGCAGACCUUGCAUCAGAUGCAGCGAAUCCUGACUAUCCGUCAGGCCUCCCGCGCCCUCCUAGCCAUACACGACUACUUCUCGCGUUUGCGCGCGCUGAGCUCUCUGUGGCUUGCUAGGCCCAGGGAAUAA
rnacentral:rRNA from 1 species